AGCAGCUUUGCGGGGCGAGGAAGUCCGACCGCCGCGCGGCGGUCUCUAGGCACCGCGGUUGACUGGCUGCACCUGUCAUCUAGGGGUUCGGGGCACAUCAGCGGAAAAUUCCAGGAAGCCAGCAGACAGGACAAACGCCAUUCUAAAAGAUGCUGGCCCUGCCACUGACCCUUGCUUCUGGAAACCAGUUUUACAGGAAAGUGAUCUUACUUAAGUCUGCGCCACUCACACCAGCCACGUCUGUGCUCCAGCCUUCAGCCGCUGGCCUGUGGUCCUCAAAAAGCCCAGUGUGGUCCAGAACCCUCCCUCUUCGUUUGAUCGACAUCUGUUGCCUGUUGCACUCAGGAGAUGUUGAUCACUUGGGAGAAGCCGCCCUCUGAGACACAGCAGCGCGUGAGCGGAACAGUGAUUGGGCGCUGCCGCCCCCCUACCCCCCCACCACACCAACUGAACCCUGGGCCCUAGUCUUGCUGGGCGCCUGUGGCUUCCACCAGUUCGCCUCAGACGCCUCUUCUGACAUUAUUCUGAAAUUCAUUAUGGUUCAGCAAGAUGCUUUUCAACAUCUAGUGCUUAUGGGAGAAGAAAGGAGUAUUUGAAUUUGAUCUGUUAUGGAAAAUCCAGGGUACAAGGUCAUUGCAAGCAUUAAAUACAUUAAAGUGAAUAAUAUUCUAGUCAAGGUCAAUUUCUUGCUUCAUUUUCUGGCUCGUAUUUGUAACAAUAAAGUGUCAAACAGCUUUGGAACUCUCAAUGUUCUCUUGCCCUGGAAUGAUCUUCUUUUUUAAAACCAAAAAAUACUUAUUGCUUCAUGCUCUAAUUCAAAUUCUGCUUCUCUGAUGAAAUAUCUGAUCUCUAACCCAUCUAUUCAUACCCUCUUCCCAUAAAUACUUCAUCUGUGUCAGAGAAUUAAAGUUGAAUCACACGAACAAUAUGUAAAAUGUAUUAACAUGUUAUAGACUCUUAUUUUUUAAAUAGCUCUUACAACCACUUUCUACUUUCAAUUUAUAAUUAUUUGUGUACAUUAAUACUCCUACAGACUAUAAAUUUGAUGCCAGCAUUAUUUUUCCUUAACAGCUUUACUAAGUGUAAUUCACACAUCAUAAAAUUCAUCUAUGUAAAGCUACAAUUCAAUCAUUACUAUAGUCACAGAGUUGUGCAACCAUUACCACAGUUUAGAAUAUUUUCAUCACAUCAAAAAGAAACGCUAUGCCUGUUAUAAGUCAGUCCACAUGCUCCCUACACCUCCUUAAGUCCUAGACAACUACUAAACUACUUUCUGUCUCUAUAUUUGCUUAUUCUGGACAUUUCAUAUAAAUGAAAUCAUACAAGACACACUCUUUUGUGAUUGGUGUCCUUCAUUUCACAUAAUGUUUUCAAGGGUCAUCCAUGUUGCAGCAUGUAUUAAUACUUCAUUCCUUUUAAUUGCUAAAUAAUAUUCAAUUUUAUGAACAUUAUUCAUCAGCUGCUGAACAUUUGGGUUGUUUCCAUUUGAGGCCAAGAUUCUUAAUUCCUUUGUUUAUUUCACAGAGCAAGUCAAGAUGUCCUGCCCAGAGAUAUGUAUUAAAUAUUUAUUUAAUAAAGUAUACUGGUGAUGCCACUUAUUGUUCCCAGAC